rnacentral:rRNA from 1 species
AACGCGAAGAACCUUACCUACUCUUGACAUCCAGAGAACUUUCCAGAGAUGGAUUGGUGCCUUCGGAAACUCUGAGACAGGUGCUGCAUGGCUGUCGUCAGCUCGUGUUGUGAAAUGUUGGGUUAAGUCCCGCAACGAGCGCAACCCUUAUCCUUGUUUGCCAGCGAGUAAUGUCGGGAACUCCAGGGAGACUGCCGGUGAUAAACCGGAGGAAGGUGGGGACGACGUCAAGUCAUCAUGGCCCUUACGAGUAGGGCUACACACGUGCUACAAUGGCGCAUACAGAGGGCGGCCAACUUGCGAAAGUGAGCGAAUCCCAAAAAGUGCGUCGUAGUCCGGAUUGGAGUCUGCAACUCGACUCCAUGAAGUCGGAAUCGCUAGUAAUCGUGGAUCAGAAUGCCACGGUGAAUACGUUCCCGGGCCUUGUACACACCGCCCGUCACACCAUGGGAGUGGGCUGCAAAAGAAGUAGGUAGUUUAACCUUCGGGGGGACGCUUACCACUUUGUGGUUCAUGACUGGGGUGAAGUCGUAACAAGGUA